AACGGCCAUACCAGACUGAUUAUACCGGUUCUCGUUCGAUCACCGAAGUCAAGCAUGAUUGGGCGCGGUCAGUACUUGGGUGGGUGACCACCUGGGAACACCGCGUGCCGUU
rnacentral:rRNA from 1 species